UACGAAGGGGGCUAGCGUUGCUCGGAAUCACUGGGCGUAAAGGGUGCGUAGGCGGGUCUUUUAAGUCAGGGGUGAAAUCCUGGAGCUCAACUCCAGAACUGCCUUUGAUACUGAAGAUCUUGAGUUCGGGAGAGGUGAGUGGAACUGCGAGUGUAGAGGUGAAAUUCGUAGAUAUUCGCAAGAACACCAGUGGCGAAGGCGGCUCACUGGCCCGAUACUGACGCUGAGGUGCGAAAGCGUGGGGAGCAACAGG
rnacentral:rRNA from 1 species